rnacentral:snRNA from 1 species
GUGCUUGUUUCGGCAGCACAAUUACUAAAAUUGGAAUGAUGCAGAGAACAUUAGCAUGGCCUCUGUGCAAGGAUGACAUGCAAAUUCAUGAAGCAUUCCAUAUUUUU